CGCCUUGCCAGCCCGCUCAGAAACUACAAAGGAAUUGACGGGGGCCCGCACAAGCGGUGGAGUAUGUGGUUUAAUUCGAUGCAACGCGAAGAACCUUACCUGGUCUUGACAUCCCGGAGACCCUUAGGAAACUAGGGGGUGCUUCCAUCUGGAAGAAUCUGGAGACAGGUGCCGCAUGGCUGUCGUCAGCUCGUGUCGUGAGAUGUUGGGUUAAGUCCCGCAACGAGCGCAACCCUUGCCUUUAGUUGCCAGCAGUUCGGCUGGGCACUCUAAAGGGACUGCCGGUGUUAAACCGGAGGAAGGUGGGGAUGACGUCAAGUCCUCAUGGCCUUUAUGACCAGGGCUACACACGUACUACAAUGGCCGAUACAAAGGGCAGCGACACUGCGAGGUGAAGCCAAUCCCGUAAAAUCGGUCUCAGUCCGGAUUGGAGUCUGCAACUCGACUCCAUGAAGUUGGAAUCGCUAGUAAUCGUGGAUCAGCAUGCCACGGUGAAUACGUUCCCGGGCCUU
rnacentral:rRNA from 1 species